GACGAACGCUGGCGGCGUGCUUAACACAUGCAAGUCGAACGGAAGGGCCCUGCUUUUGUGGGGUGCUCGAGUGGCGAACGGGUGAGUAACACGUGAGUAACCUGCCCUUGACUUUGGGAUAACUUCAGGAAACUGGGGCUAAUACCGGAUAGGAGCUCCUGCUGCAUGGUGGGGGUUGGAAAGUUUCGGCGGUUGGGGAUGGACUCGCGGCUUAUCAGCUUGUUGGUGGGGUAGUGGCUUACCAAGGCUUUGACGGGUAGCCGGCCUGAGAGGGUGACCGGCCACAUUGGGACUGAGAUACGGCCCAGACUCCUACGGGAGGCAGCAGUGGGGAAUAUUGCACAAUGGGCGGAAGCCUGAUGCAGCAACGCCGCGUGCGGGAUGACGGCCUUCGGGUUGUAAACCGCUUUCGCCAGUGACGAAGCGUGAGUGACGGUAAUGGGUAAAGAAGCACCGGCUAACUACGUG
rnacentral:rRNA from 1 species